GACGAACGCUGGCGGCGUGCCUAAUACAUGCAAGUAGAGCGCUGAAGGAGGAGCUUGCUUCUCUGGAUGAGUUGCGAACGGGUGAGUAACGCGUAGGUAACCUGCCUGGUAGCGGGGGAUAACUAUUGGAAACGAUAGCUAAUACCGCAUAAGAGUAGAUGUUGCAUGACAUUUGCUUAAAAGGUGCAAUUGCAUCACUACCAGAUGGACCUGCGUUGUAUUAGCUAGUUGGUGGGGUAACGGCUCACCAAGGCGACGAUACAUAGCCGACCUGAGAGGGUGAUCGGCCACACUGGGACUGAGACACAGCCCAGACUCCUACGGGAGGCAGCAGUAGGGAAUCUUCGGCAAUGGACGGAAGUCUGACCGAGCAACGCCGCGUGAGUGAAGAAGGUUUUCGGAUCGUAAAGCUCUGUUGUAAGAGAAGAACGAGUGUGAGAGUGGAAAGUUCACACUGUGACGGUAUCUUACCAGAAAGGGACGGCUAACUACGUG
rnacentral:rRNA from 1 species